CAACCCUCAAGCCCCCGGGCUUGGUGUUGGAGAUCGGCCCGCCCCUGCGGCAGGCCGGCUCCGAAAUCCAGUGGCGGUCCCGCCGUAACUUCCUCUGCGUAGUAGCAAUAUCUCGCACCGGAAAGCGACGGAGCCUUGCCGUAAAACCCCCAACUUCUGAAGG
rnacentral:misc_RNA from 1 species